CCAGGGAAGGACCUCGCCACCACGCCACUUCGUCCUUCCGACGCUGCAGCGCGCAAGCCGUUCACCUUCGUCGCCCAUGUCCGUCCAAUGACUAGUCACCAUGCGUGCCUACCUGACCUUCAUGGGGUACCAGUGGCGGCCUUCAUCGCGUUCGUCUGACCACAUGUUUAACUGCAGGGAACAAAUGUGCCUUCUAUGGCUCCGCCCAAAAUCACGCCUGUGCCAUGGGUGUGGUCCUAGCUGAGGUGCAGCUCGCUGUUGCCCGACUCCUAGCUAAGGUGCAGCUCGAUCGUAGUGCUCGCCUACAGCUCUUUCUCCGCUGUUUGUGUUUAUGCCUAAACAUUGAGGUGCUCAGCAGGCAGAGGGGACAGAUAAAAUGCUGGGAGGAUUGGGGCAGGCCCGCAGGAGGUGGCGGCAAGCCUGAAGGAGUUGGAGGCACAUUACUACUCAUCAAUUGUCCAUACUCUGCUCUAUGAUUGAGGUGAACAUCUUCUAGAAUGGUAUCUUAGCAGCUCUCUUGUUAACUUAAAAAAUGUAUUUUCAGUUGAUACAAGUGCAUUGCUGGAGAGAAGAAUUACAAAUCUGCAUCGGUUUGCUUUUUGUACAUGUCUGUCAAGUUAUUGCCUUUACUUCUACUUGCUAACUUGCGAAAGCAGGGCUUAUAUAUGCUUUGUACAAAUUGCUUAAUGAGAGUAUCACUAUCAUCUAUGUUCUACAAUGACAUAAAGCAAUGAAUAGUCUAAGGAAAAACCACCUAGUCGAACAACGAAAUGAUGAACAGUAGGUUAACGAGCGGCCAUGAAGUUCUACGAUGGCUAUACGCAGAGUUCUACUGCGGCUAUACGGUUGCAUAUGGGUGUGUUGCUGAUGUAAAAUUGCAGGCCCUUUCCCAAAAAUCAUCUGCUACUGCAUGUGUCGCUUGCUGCUGUUCUAAUGGUGGCUGGUCUCCUAUACAUAGCGAUAUUCCUGUUCAUGUCGCUGGCUGUAGUUUCUCUAUGUUAACCACGUUGGAAGCCUAGCACUACUAUCUUGCACUAGCCUAUAUAUGAGCAUCUCGGGCCAUUGUUAAUAGAUGGGAGUAGUAUUAAUUGUUUUGAUUAAGAUGCUGACGCCUUAGAUUAUACUGGAGCAUGUGUUCAUCUUUUUUCUUUUUCUGCUACGUGCUUUUCCACACAUCUGAAAUUCCUCCGGCAACACUCCCCAACAGGUUGUUUCCCCAUUUCUGUGGAUCGGCGAGGAUACAAUGUGCUUCUCCUGCUCGCUUGGGUCAAUGGGUGAUUUGACUGCUGAAGUUGACUAGUAAUUAUCUACUAAAUUUUCCAAGGAUAAGCUCGCUUCUACAUUUUCAUAUAUACCAGCUUCUGUUAUUUACAUAUCAGAUGCUCUGACUAAAUCAUCUUUUGUGUUUCAGAGACUGCAAAUUCUACUAUGUACCUUCAGCAGAAUUAGGUGUUGAAAAUGUUGUUCCUCCUAUGGAUCGUUGAUUCCACACUUUUGUCUGCAUUUAUGAAUAAUGCAUAUCCAGUACCAUGCUCUAAUAAUUUUUCAUCAAUUAUACUGCCUAUAUUACAACAGAAUUAAUGAAGUUCAACUUUGAGAAAGCAAUAAGUCCAAAUGUAUAUGGAAAAACUCUAAAAAGACAAUGACCAAAUUUUUUUGUUAGUGAAGUUCAAUUUGGAAAUACAUGAUAAAAAAGGUAUUCUUUUUUUUACAAUAAAAAAGUAUUAUGUAUUGUUGGUUUCACCAACUAGUCACUCUCUCACAAACAUUCUGUUACUGCUUCCCUUCUACUUCAUGAAAUUGUAUACAAAAAGAACAAUGAAUUUCAAAAUUAAAAGCAAAAAAGCAAGCAUUUCUUAAAGACAAAGAAAGUGUGUGCGAAGUUCAUAUUUUUUGUCGUGGAUGGUCCAAAAUGUUCGCUAAUGGAAAGGCACACCCUGGGUUUCCAAAAAAUGAUUGUAAAAAUGAUUGUGCAGAUUUUCUGUUACCCCAUUUUUAGUUACUGAUUGAAGAAAUUUUUGUUCAUUAGGUGAAAGAACUUGAUUUCUUUUGUUCCUUUGUGGAUGAAGAAGGUCACCACAGAGGUAGGGAGAAGGUCACCAUAAGACAGGGAGAAGGUCACAUAAGGUGCAGAAAGAAUGUCAGAGUUUAGCAACAGGGUGUGUGAUCUUUGUGUUGUUUUUGGGGAGCAAAUCAUGGGUAUGCGAUCUCACAUCCCGUGUGUUAUUGAGAUGGCCUCCCUUAGCCUCAAACCAUUUUCCUACAAAUAUGAUAGCCUCAAUGCUACCGUCAUGUGUAAAGAAAAUUAGAUGUGUACAUGUACACAACCUACAACAACUUUACGGGGAGUUGAUGGAUUUAUCCAGUGGUUGUUGCUGCCACUACUGAUUUUUUUCUUGAGAUGGUCUUCAUCACCAAUCAAUAAUUCACUUGUUUCUUGGUUGCAUCUAGUUCCCUUGCUCCACCUCAACACUGAUUCCUUCAGCUAGAUCUCCCUUGACCAUCACCAAUCAAUAAUUCACUUGUUUCUUGGUUGCAUCUAGUUCCCUUGCUCCACCUCAACACUGAUUCCUUCAGCUAGAUCUCCCUUGUUAUUUUGUAUUCUUAUUUUCUUUUCAUAAAGCAUUUGCUCUGAAAUUCGGAUCCGAUGAUGUAGCUUUGACUAUUCUUGAAAACGUGGCGAAAAUUG
rnacentral:lncRNA from 1 species